UACAGAGGGUGCGAGCGUUAAUCGGAAUUACUGGGCGUAAAGCGUGCGUAGACGGUAGCGUAAGUCAGAUGUGAAAGCCCCGGGCUCAACCUGAGAAUUGCAUUUGAGACUGCUCUGCUCGGGUGCGGAAGAGGGAAGCGGAAUUUCCGGUGUAGCGGUGAAAUGCGUAGAUAUCGGAAGGAACACCAGUGGCGAAAGCGGCUUCCUGGUCCGGUACCGACGCUGAGGAGCGAAAGCGUGGGGAGCGAACAGG
rnacentral:rRNA from 1 species